GCGGGCUGGCAAAGGUGCUCUAGGACUUGGGAGCAUUCACGGGAGAUCCCGGGAAGGAAAGAGAGUCGAGACGCGGGAGCUGGGAGAUGGGCGGCCGGAACCGGAUUGGGCAGGGCACUGGGGGCGGGAACAGAACUGCGGAAGCAGGAGUGGGACCGAAGACCUUCCACCCUGACACCCUAGCCAGCCCCGCGUCCCCACCCGACAGCAGAAGCUCGCCUAGUCAUGGCUCUCAGCCUGGAAGUGACCGCCAAGAAAUCGCUCGACAUCCAGGCCCAGCGCCCAACCUGGAUGAUCACCAGCACCAACGUGGCUUUGGCCCGAGGGUCCAAGAGAAAGAGACGGAAUUUCACUCUUGUCGCCAGGCUGCAGUGCAAUGGCGUGAUCUCAGCUAGCUGCAACCUCCACCUCCCAGGCCAAGCUGGGGGUAACGCCACCUGUGACCAGCUGAAUGCCCGGUAGAAGUGUACCAGGGGAGCCCACCAGUAUCUCCACACAAUCAUGGGACGAAAAUCGUGGUUUUACUUCGCGACUUCAGGAUGAGCCCUAUGGGAACCAGCAGCCCCCCACCCACAAACCAGAUAGCCGCUCCGGAGCCCGCAGCUCAGCCCCACUGGGAGGGCCUGCGGCUAAUGCAAGGAUUCUGACCAAUGCGGUCUAAAGAGAAUGAGAGAGGGGGCUGCGGCCCGAGAAACUGAGGCAAAG
rnacentral:lncRNA from 1 species